rnacentral:rRNA from 1 species
UACGUAGGGUGCGAGCGUUGUCCGGAAUUAUUGGGCGUAAAGAGCUCGUAGGCGGUCUGUCGCGUCGAUCGUGAAAACUUGGGGCUUAACCCUGAGCUUGCGGUCGAUACGGGCAUGACUGGAGUUCGGCAGGGGAGACUGGAAUUCCUGGUGUAGCGGUGAAAUGCGCAGAUAUCAGGAGGAACACCGGUGGCGAAGGCAGCUCACUGGGACGGUACUGACGCUGAGGCGCGAAAGCGUGGGGAGCAAACAGG